GCUUAGAGAGGGGUCAAUGUCCUAUCAGCUAGUUGGUAGGGUAAUGGCCUACCAAGGCUAAGACGGGUAGCUGGCCUGAGAGGGUGGUCGGCCACACUGGGACUGAGACACUGCCCAGACUCCUACGGGGGGCUGCAGUCGAGAAUCUUUCGCAAUGCCCGAAAGGGUGACGAAGCGACGCCGCGUGUGGGAAGAAGGCCUUCGGGUUGUAAACCACUGUCGGGAGUUAAGAAAUGUAAGGGUAUUAAUAGUAUCCUUACUUGACUAAGGCUCCGGAGGAAGCCACGGCUAACUCUGUGCCAGCAGCCGCGGUAAUACAGAGGCGGCAAGCGUUGUUCGGAAUUAUUGGGCGUAAAGAGCACGUAGGCGGCUUUGUAAGUCAGUUGUGAAAGCCUUCUGCUCAACGGAAGAACAGCAUCUGAUACUGCAAGGCUAGAGUGCGGAAGGG
rnacentral:rRNA from 1 species